GAUGAAGAACGUAGCGAAAUGCGAUAAGUAAUGUGAAUUGCAGAAUUCAGUGAAUCAUCGAAUCUUUGAACGCACAUUGCGCCCUCUGGUAUUCCGGGGGGCAUGCCUGUUCGAGCGUCAUUUCAACCCUCAAGCACGGCUUGUGUGUUGGGCCUCCGUCCUCCUCCCGGGGGACGGGCCCGAAAGGCAGCGGCGGCACCGCGUCCGGUCCUCGAGCGUAUGGGGCUUCGUCACCCGCUCUUGUAGGCCCGGCCGGCGCUUGCCGACACAUCAAUCUUUUUUCCAGGUUGACCUCGGAUCAGGUAGGGAUACCCGCUGAACUUAAGCAUAUCAAUAAGCGGAGGA
rnacentral:misc_RNA from 1 species